rnacentral:rRNA from 1 species
UACGAAGGGGGCUAGCGUUGCUCGGAAUCACUGGGCGUAAAGGGCGCGUAGGCGGCCGAUUAAGUCGGGGGUGAAAGCCUGUGGCUCAACCACAGAAUUGCCUUCGAUACUGGUUGGCUUGAGACCGGAAGAGGACAGCGGAACUGCGAGUGUAGAGGUGAAAUUCGUAGAUAUUCGCAAGAACACCAGUGGCGAAGGCGGCUCACUGGCCCGGUACUGACGCUGAGGUGCGAAAGCGUGGG